GUGUGUGAAGAAGGCUUCGGGUUGUAAAGCACUUUUGUCCGGAAAGAAAUCCUUGGUUCUAAUAUAGCCGGGGGAUGACGGU
rnacentral:rRNA from 1 species